AGUGGGGCUUGUGUCAGGGAGCACAGGAUCACGGCCUGGCUGCAAGAGGGAACCUUCUGCUGUACUGACUGCUGCUUUCGCUAAACCAGGACACUCUGUAUUUUGUCUGCAGAUUAAAAUCAAAAGCACAUAAAGACUGAAGCACCUAAUCUACAUAGUGUUAGAAACACACAGAAGCUUCUAGGUCAUGUACCAGAGCAGAGGAGCAAUAAUUACUCUCUUCGCUUCUCAGCAGGGGAGACCUCCCAGCUGGAAGCUCCAUCCAAGCUCAGAACUUCAUUUAUGAAGUAAGACAGGACACAUCAGCUUUCAGGACUGGAAACAUGAGUCCAGUGAAUCUGUAAUUUCAGCUUUCAUUCCUGGCUAGCUCAGGUCAGAGAGAGAAUGAUCUGGGGUUUUCUUUUCGUUGAAGACCUCAAUAUGUCUCACAGAAGACAACAGCAAAUCUUCCAUUGAAUUCAGUUAUUCAAGAUCAGGUUCAAAAUUGGAAAAUUCAGCAGAUAUACACCAGUAAUGAGAGGAGAAUCCAGCCAAUCAAGCAUACAGCUUUGAGCUCUUAUUUCUGUUAACCUAUUCAAAAGUAAGCACUGUGCUGAUUCAUG